UACGGGGGGGGCAAGCGUUGUCCGGAAUCACUGGGCGUAAAGGGCGCGUAGGCGGCUUGAUAAGGUUGCGGUGAAAGCCCGGGGCUCAACCCCGGGUCGGCCGUGGCAACUGUCGAGCUGGAGCACUGUAGAGGCAGGUGGAAUUCCGGGUGUAGCGGUGGAAUGCGUAGAGAUCCGGAAGAACACCGGUGGCGAAGGCGGCCUGCUGGGCAGUGGCUGACGCUGAGGCGCGACAGCGUGGGGAGCAAACAGG
rnacentral:rRNA from 1 species